CAAUCAAACCGGGAGAUAGCUGGUUCUCCCCGAAAGCUAUUUAGGUAGCGCCUCGUGAAUUCAUCUCCGGGGGUAGAGCACUGUUUCGGCUAGGGGGCCAUCCCGGCUUACCAACCCGAUGCAAACUGCGAAUACCGGAGAAUGUUAUCACGGGAGACACACGGCGGGUGCUAACGUCCGUCGUGAAGAGGGAAACAACCCAGACCGCCAGCUAAGGUCCCAAAGUCAUGGUUAAGUGGGAAACGAUGUGGGAAGGCCCAGACAGCCAGGAUGUUGGCUUAGAAGCAGCCAUCAUUUAAAGAAAGCGUAAUAGCUCACUGGUCGAGUCGGCCUGCGCGGAAGAUGUAACGGGGCUAAACCAUGCACCGAAGCUGCGGCAGCGAACGUAUCACCCAAGACAACUUUACGGAGUUGACGAUUGACGGAGCGAAGCGACGUCAAAGCGUUCAUUAAAGUCGAGUUGGCUUAGGGAUACGUUCGUUGGGUAGGGGAGCGUUCUGUAAGCCUGUGAAGGUGUGUCGUGAGGCAUGCUGGAGGUAUCAGAAGUGCGAAUGCUGACAUAAGUAACGAUAAAGCGGGUGAAAAGCCCGCUCGCCGGAAGACCAAGGGUUCCUGUCCAACGUUAAUCGGGGCAGGGUGAGUCGACCCCUAAGGCGAGGCCGAAAGGCGUAGUCGAUGGGAAACGGGUUAAUAUUCCCGUACUUGGUGUUACUGCGAAGGGGGGACGGAGAAGGCUAUGUUGGCCGGGCGACGGUUGUCCCGGUUUAAGCGUGUAGGUGUGUGUUCCAGGUAAAUCCGGUUCACUUUAACACUGAGGCGUGACGACGAGGCACUACGGUGCUGAAGCAACAAAUGCCCUGCUUCCAGGAAAAGCCUCUAAGCAUCAGGUAACAUCAAAUCGUACCCCAAACCGACACAGGUGGUCAGGUAGAGAAUACCAAGGCGCUUGAGAGAACUCGGGUGAAGGAACUAGGCAAAAUGGUGCCGUAACUUCGGGAGAAGGCACGCUGACACGUAGGUGAAGUGAUUUACUCAUGGAGCUGAAGUCAGUCGAAGAUACCAGCUGGCUGCAACUGUUUAUUAAAAACACAGCACUGUGCAAACACGAAAGUGGACGUAUACGGUGUGACGCCUGCCCGGUGCCGGAAGGUUAAUUGAUGGGGUCAGCGCAAGCGAAGCUCCUGAUCGAAGCCCCGGUAAACGGCGGCCGUAACUAUAACGGUCCUAAGGUAGCGAAAUUCCUUGUCGGGUAAGUUCCGACCUGCACGAAUGGCGUAAUGAUGGCCAGGCUGUCUCCACCCGAGACUCAGUGAAAUUGAACUCGCUGUGAAGAUGCAGUGUACCCGCGGCAAGACGGAAAGACCCCGUGAACCUUUACUAUAGCUUGACACUGAACAUUGAGCCUUGAUGUGUAGGAUAGGUGGGAGGCUUUGAAGUGUGGACGCCAGUCUGCAUGGAGCCGACCUUGAAAUACCACCCUUUAAUGUUUGAUGUUCUAACGUGGACCCGUAAUCCGGGUUGCGGACAGUGUCUGGUGGGUAGUUUGACUGGGGCGGUCUCCUCCUAAAGAGUAACGGAGGAGCACGAAGGUUGGCUAAUCCUGGUCGGACAUCAGGAGGUUAGUGCAAUGGCAUAAGCCAGCUUGACUGCGAGCGUGACGGCGCGAGCAGGUGCGAAAGCAGGUCAUAGUGAUCCGGUGGUUCUGAAUGGAAGGGCCAUCGCUCAACGGAUAAAAGGUACUCCGGGGAUAACAGGCUGAUACCGCCCAAGAGUUCAUAUCGACGGCGGUGUUUGGCACCUCGAUGUCGGCUCAUCACAUCCUGGGGCUGAAGUAGGUCCCAAGGGUAUGGCUGUUCGCCAUUUAAAGUGGUACGCGAGCUGGGUUUAGAACGUCGUGAGACAGUUCGGUCCCUAUCUGCCGUGGGCGCUGGAGAACUGAGGGGGGCUGCUCCUAGUACGAGAGGACCGGAGUGGACGCAUCACUGGUGUUCGGGUUGUCAUGCCAAUGGCACUGCCCGGUAGCUAAAUGCGGAAGAGAUAAGUGCUGAAAGCAUCUAAGCACGAAACUUGCCCCGAGAUGAGUUCUCCCUGAGACUUAG
rnacentral:rRNA from 3 species